rnacentral:rRNA from 1 species
AUUGAACGCUGGCGGCAGGCCUAACACAUGCAAGUCGAGCGAGCGGCGGACGGGUGAGUAAUGUCUGGGAAAAUGCCUGAUGGAGGGGGAUAACUACUGGAAAAGGUAGCUAAUACAGCAUACAAUCAAAUGUGCCCAGAUGGGAUUAGCGCGUGGGUGGGGUAACGGCUCACCUAGGCGACACUCAAUAGCUGGUCUGAGAGGAUGACCAGCCACACUGGAACGGAGACACGGUCCAGACUCCUACGGGAGGCAGCAGUGGGGAAUAUUGCACAAUGGGCGCAAGCCUGAUGCAGCCAUGCCGCGUGUGUGAAGAAGGCCUUCGGGUUGUAAAGCACUUUCAGCGGGGAGGCGUUACCCGCAGAAGAAGCACCGGCUAACUCCGUGCCAGCAGCCGCGGUAAUUC